GAACACAAAAUGGCGACACGUGGUUAGCAUUCGUCGCCAACGAGAAAUUGGGGUCGGCCCGAAAGCUCUAGAAUGCACCCCUCUUCCUCCCCGGGGCCUUCCACCUCCGCGAGUUUUAUGACUUAAAAAAGCCCACAGGCUGGUCUGAAGAGGAAGACAAACAUAAAGAUGAAGUGCUUAAUUCAAGGUCACACAAUGUCGGGGAUGGACCUCCAGAUUUCCUUACUGGAAAACAAGCUCAGGGCUCCCACUGAUUGUACAUUAUGAGACGGAGUCUUGCUAUGUUGCCCAGGCUGGUCUUGAACUCCUCACCUCAAGCGAUCCUCCCGUCUUGGCCUCCCAAGUGUCAGGAUUACGGGCAUGUGCUAUCACACCCAACCUGAUACAUUGCCUUUAUAAAUUUUUUUUUCUUUAUUCUAAAAACCAGAAAAAACAAAACUGGAUACAUGUGCAGAACAUGCAGGUGGAGUCUCACUCUGUAGCCCAAGCUGGAGUGGCGUGAUCUCGACUCACUGCAACCUCCGCCUCCUGGGAUCAAGUGAUUCUCGUGCCUCAGCCUCCUGAGUAGCCGGGACUACAGGUCACAGAAUUUUCCACACUCCUUGACAGAGGUGCUUAACCCUUAUCCAUCAGCAUUCUCAGACAGCACCUCCGGUUAGGGACAGUAUCUGACCGUCCGACAUCCCUGCAGCCCCCAUGUGUCACACAGACUCAGCCUCAGGUAGAUGGUUUCCGUAGAUGGUGGCUUUCUUUGGACCCUUGACAUCAACCAGUUACUAUUUGACUCUUCUGCAGAACCCCAUGUUGACCCCUGCUUUGAGGUGGCAGAGUUAACACUACUCUUCGUUAUAAGCUCUCGUCUGGGGCAACUCAGAAGAACGGGACCAGAUGUGCAGAGGUAAUGAAUACCAGGGAAUCAGGAAACCACUGGAUCAGUUCUUUGAGCCACAGAACAACACUCAUCCCAGCAGCUGGGAAGCUAUCUGCAAAAGUCCAUCUGCAGAAAGGGCUUCCUGGUCUUGCGUGUGGCUGGGCCAUUUCUCUGGAUGCAGGUUUUUCAUUAUACAGUCUUCUCAAAGAACCACCUGCUCUCAACACC
rnacentral:lncRNA from 10 species